UCAUAUCGUACAUACUCACCUCCAUCUUCUCUGCAACUCACGAUUUUACUCUACCCUUCACACCACUAUCAUCUUAUUUCUGUCAUCGCAUUACAGUUAAACCCAUUACUAAAUCUCCAUUCCUUUUUUCAAUUAUUGAGAGGGUAAGUUGAAGAGGAUGCUUCAAAUUAAUGGAACAACUACAAAGAAGAAAAUAAAACACAAACCAACUAAAAAAAAAGUCAUCAAUUUGUGUCCCCAAUAAAUCUAAAUCCAAAUGAAGGGUUAAGGUGGUCAGAGAUGAUUCGCAGUGGCAGGAGGAGGGUGACAAAAAGAAACGGUGGUUGGCAGUGCUUUAGGCACCACAAAGCAUCACCGUUCUAUAAAAUUUUUAGGAUACCACUCACUAAUUAAAGCUACUACUGGGAUUCUAUGGGUCGUGGGUGUGGACUGUGGAGGUAUGCAACGAGGAUGAGUUUUGAAAUAACAGGAGUGCUGGUUAUUCAAAAAGGGAUGAUGGUCCUUCAAAUGCAUAUAUAGAGGAAGAGAGGAGGUAAACUGGGCAUCGUAUUCAAUAUAUAGAAGAUGAUGAACAGUAGCUAGUUCCAUUUUUUUAAUUUUUUUUUCCUUUCUUAUGAUAUGCUCUACAUUCGGCCAUGCAAUAUCUGGCUCUACAGAUUUGGGUCUCAUUUUUUGCGG
rnacentral:lncRNA from 1 species